GCCAACAUGGUGGAGUGGUUUAAGCACUGGGCUAUGACUUUGGAGACCAGGGUUUGAAUCCCUGCUCUGCCA